UAAAAAUUUUAUUUUGGUUUAAUUAUUAAGUGUUAUUUUUUAUUAUAUGUGAAUUUUUAUUAGAAAAUAUAAUUGCAGUAAUUAGUUUUAAAUAUUCAAGUAAUUGAGAUUUAGAAAUAAUAAAAAAUAUAAACAUAAUUUGUGCCAGCAGUUGCGGUUAUACAAAUUAUAUAAUUUAAUUCUUUUAAUUUUAAUUAAUUGUUAUUUAAAUUUUAAAUUAAAAUUUAUUUGGUGAAAUUCUAAAUUUUUAAUUAAAUUUCAAAUAUGAAAAAAUUAGUAAAUUUUAAAUAUAAACUAGGAUUAGAUACCCUAUUAUUUAAAUUAUAAUUAUAAAAAUUAAAUUAGUAUUAGCUAUGUUCUUGAAAAUUAAAAAAUUUGGCGGUAUUUUAGUCUAUUCAGAGGAACCUGUUUUAUAAAUGAUACCCCACGAUUUAAUUUACUUUUAUUAUUAGCUUACAUAUCGUCGUAGUUAAAUAUUUUUAAAGAAUUUUAAUAUUUGAGGAUUUUAUUAAAAAAAAUUUCAGAUCAAGGUGUAGUUUAUAUAAAAGAAAAAAUGGGUUACAAUAAAUUUAUUUUAGGAUUUAUUUUAUUAAUAAAGUUUUGAAUGUGGAUUUGAAAGUAAUUUUAAUUAAUUAGUUAAAAUGAUUUAAGCUCUAAAAUAUGCACAUAUUGCCCGUCGCUUUCAUUUAAGAUGAAAUAAGUCGUAACAAAGUAGAAUUACUGGAAAGUGAUUCUAGAUUCAA
rnacentral:ncRNA from 1 species